UUAAGUUCAGCGGGUAUUCCUACCUGAUCCGAGGUCAACCUUCAGAAGUGGGGGGUUUAACGGCGUGGCCGCGCCGCGUUCCAGUGCGAGGUGUUGCUACUACGCAGAGGAGGCUACAGCGAGACCGCCACUAGAUUUCGGGGCCGGCAACACCCCCCAGAGAGGAGGAGGAGCCGAUCCCCAACACCAAGCCCGGGGGC
rnacentral:misc_RNA from 1 species